UAUUUAAUUCUUUUCUAACUUUAGAAAUAGCAUCAGGUUGUUCAUCUAAGCUGAGACUUUGGGUGAAUGUUCCGAUUUCCACUCUAACAAAAUCCUUCUCCGUGCAAGAACAGUUGCAAAGGCAAACACAUAUUUUGGUCCACUUGUCAUUUGUGUACCUUCCCCUUGAACACCAAAUAUAGCCAUUUCAGCAUUAGGCUGGAUAGCUCUGACAAAUGCCUAUGACAAGGUCUGGAAUACCGUAAUCCAAAAAGUGUUCAGCUUGUUACAGGACCAAAACAUGUGGGACAGGUCUGCCCUUUUCUUUGAGAAAAAAAUCACAUAAGUCAUUUACGUAAGGUUAGAUCAUGGAAAGCCUCACCUUAGAAUAAUGCAUAUUCUUCCAAUUGGCUCCAGUAAACAUUUGGGACCUGUCUCCAAUAAACAAUUUUUUGUAGGUUUGCCGUCCAGUAAAAAUACAUGAAGGAUUCUCUGAAACAGAUAUAAACAUUUGGGCAGUACGUUCAUUUUAAAACAUGCAAUUUUGCCUGUCAGAGACAGAUUUAAUAGACUCCACUUCUGGGAGUCAGAUUUAAGGUUGUUCAUCAAGGGUCGAGGAUAACAUUUUUGUUAUAAAGACCACAUAGAUUACGGGUAACAUUGAUUCCAAAAUAUUUCAAUCCUAACCUAGAAAGAAAGAAGGGAAAAGGCUGACUUGUAAGGGAUGGAUUAUUGACCAGGAAACAUUCACUUUUUGAACAUUUUAAUUUACAACCUG